AGAUACCCCGGUAGUCCUGGCAGUAAACGAUGAGCUCUAGGUGUGGGGGGUAUCGAGCCCCUCCGUGCCGCAGUUAACACAAUAAGUGCUCCGCAUGGGGAGUAUGGCCGCAAGGUUAAAACUCAAAGGAAUUGACGGGAGCCCGCACAAGCAGUGGAGCGUGUGGUUUAAUUCGAUGCGACGCGAAGAACCUUACGUGGGUUUGACAUGGGCUUGUUAGACUUGGAAACAGGUCCCCCUUCGGGCAAGUUCACAGAUGUUGCAUGGCUGUCGUCAGCUCGUGUCGUGAGAUGUUGGGUUAAGUCCCGCAACGAGCGCAACCCUCGUGGCUAGUUGCUUUAUCUAGCCAGACUGCCUACUAAAUAGGAGGAAGGUGGGGAUGACGUCAAGUCCGCAUGGCUCUUACAUCCAGGGCUACACACACGCUACAAUGACCGGUACAAAGCGCGGCAAGCAGACGACUGCAAGCGAAUCGCAAAAACCGGUCUCAGUUCGGAUUGCAGGCUGCAACCCGCCUGCAUGAAGUUGGAGUUGAUAUGUAACCGCGUGACAGCACAGUGCGGUGAAUAUGUUCCCGGGCCUUGUACACUCCGCCCGUCACGUCAUGGGAGUUGGUAACACCUGAACGUCAGUGGGCGGACCGCUCGCAAGAGUGGGGGUAGCGGCCGAGGGUGGGAUCGAUGACUGGGACGAAGUCGUAACAAGGUAUC
rnacentral:rRNA from 1 species